CCUACACAAAGUUAAUCCUUUUGGAAAAAACAGAAACUUCUCCAAAAUUUAUGCUGAGAUAAUGCACCAAGGUCAAAGUGUCCUCUUGUUAAAUAAAAGAGGUGAAUGUUGGACACUUGACUCCUGGGACACCAGCAUUAAUGCCCACACUUAAAAUAUACAUUGUUGUGAGGAUUUAGAAUAAAGAGAAAGAAAAAAAAAACCUCGAGCAUUUUGUGUAAUUCGAUAGCAUAUUCCUAUUCGUGGAUAUGGUUUCAAUAUAAAAAUUGUGGGGGAAAAAAAACUUGAGAGAAGUCUACUCCCACCCCUGGUCCUCCCUUCCUUUUCUCAGCCAGCCUUUGUUGUGUACUGGUGGACUGUGGUCAGGAUGGGUUGUGUGGCAUCGGGGGAGUAUGCAGUGCUGCCAGCUACUGGCAUAGGCCUCUCUGUGCAGGGGGCACAGCGCAAACACCCCCCUAGAUAAAGGUAGACAUGACGGCUUUCCCACAGCCUGCUCAGUAGAGUGUGUCAAUCUCUCAGAUGAAUCCCUGCCAACGCCUUUCCCUCUUAAAGGCACAAAUGAAUGUGGCUGUCAUUUGCAUGCAGGAACCACGACUUAGUUGUCACUGCAUCCAGGAGCUGUUGAAGUGACCUAAUUUCAAGUCAUUUUUAAUUCAGAGAUGAUCUCUAACUAGGGGAAAUGCCAUCAUCGCUCCUUUCCCCGGCCACUUCGCCUUUCACGUGAAAGCAAUGUUUGGACGUUUCUUCGCCUACUGGCUUUAUGAAGAAAAAGUUAAUCUACCAACCUGCCGGGUUCAGCUUCCUAAACCUUGCUUAUGCAAGGCUGCUUGAUCACCUCUCUCCUUCUCUGUCUCAUGCACACACAUGUAUGCACACAGGUACAUGCUUAUGUGGACUUUUAUGUGAUUUAAUCAACAUCUAAUCAUUCUUAGUGUUUUGUUUGCAAGUAAACAAAAUUCUUUAUGUACACAGACUCGUCGGAGGCCAGAAUAUUUUCUACUGGCAAGUCAUCAUCUUAUAUACAGAGAUUUCAUCAUUCCAUUUAUCAAAAAAACUCAGGCUUCUAGCAUUUUCCUUUUUGUUUAGGAACUAUGCUCUGAGCACUUGUCAGAAAUAGUGGAUCAAAGUCAGAGGUAGGUUUUCCACCCCAGGUGUGGCGCAUCCAGCACGUUCUCAGGUACGCCUCCAGUGGCCACACUGUCAUGGCGGCUCUGCCUUCCAACAUGGCUCCCUCCACUGCCCUGCCAACAAGAUCUCUCUGGGAAUGCAAAUGUUUUUUUUUCUUUGUAUGUAUGAAAAUGCUGGGAGCCAUUAGCCAAGUAGGUAUGACAAUUUCCUUGCCAGCGUACCCCAUGUUGCAGUGACAUUGAAUGUAGGUGACCUUGCUCAAGGACCAGGGCGGAUUAGGGUGUUCCCGGUUUAGGAUAAUCGGGUUUAGGGCGUUCCAGGUUUAAGAUUAUUCCUGCUGGGAAUAGGGCAUAUCCUGCUGCCUGAGUUCCCCUUGAGUUCUCACGGGAUUCAGACAGUAUUUUUUGGGAGACAGAAGCCCAGUGGUGGUGGAUUUGGGCAG
rnacentral:lncRNA from 1 species